rnacentral:rRNA from 1 species
UACGGAGGGUGCAAGCGUUGCUCGGAAUCACUGGGCGUAAAGCGACCGCAGGCGGCCUGACAAGUCGGAUGUGAAAGCCCUGGGCUCAACUCAGGAAUUGCAUUCGAAACUGGCAGGCUUGAGUACGGGAGAGGGGGAUGGAAUUCCUGGUGUAGGGGUGAAAUUCGUUGAUAUCAGGAGGAACACCGGCGGCGAAGGCGGCCCCCUGGCCCGCAACUGACGCUCAUGGUCGAAAGCGUGGGGAGCAAACAGG